GCGUGCUUAACACAUGCAAGUCGAACGGAAAGGCCCCUUCGGGGGUACUCGAGUGGCGAACGGGUGAGUAACACGUGGGUGAUCUGCCCUGCACUCUGGGAUAAGCCUGGGAAACUGGGUCUAAUACCGGAUACACCCUUCUGGUCGCAUGGCCUGGGAGGGGAAAGCUUUUGCGGUGUGGGAUGGGCCCGCGGCCUAUCAGCUUGUUGGUGGGGUGAUGGCCUACCAAGGCGACGACGGGUAGCCGGCCUGAGAGGGUGUCCGGCCACACUGGGACUGAGAUACGGCCCAGACUCCUACGGGAGGCAGCAGUGGGGAAUAUUGCACAAUGGGCGCAAGCCUGAUGCAGCGACGCCGCGUGGGGGAUGACGGCCUUCGGGUUGUAAACCUCUUUCAGCAUCGACGAAGCGCAAGUGACGGUAGAUGCAGAAGAAGCACCGGCCAACUACGUGCCAGCAGCCGCGGUAAUACGUAGGGUGCGAGCGUUGUCCGGAAUUACUGGGCGUAAAGAGCUCGUAGGUGGUUUGUCGCGUUGUUCGUGAAAACUCACAGCUUAACUGUGGGCGUGCGGGCGAUACGGGCAGACUAGAGUACUGCAGGGGAGACUGGAAUUCCUGGUGUAGCGGUGGAAUGCGCAGAUAUCAGGAGGAACACCGGUGGCGAAGGCGGGUCUCUGGGCAGUAACUGACGCUGAGGAGCGAAAGCGUGGGGAGCGAACAGGAUUAGAUACCCUGGUAGUCCACGCCGUAAACGGUGGGUACUAGGUGUGGGUUUCCUUCCUUGGGAUCCGUGCCGUAGCUAACGCAUUAAGUACCCCGCCUGGGGAGUACGGCCGCAAGGCUAAAACUCAAAGGAAUUGACGGGGGCCCGCACAAGCGGCGGAGCAUGUGGAUUAAUUCGAUGCAACGCGAAGAACCUUACCUGGGUUUGACAUGCACAGGACGCCGGCAGAGAUGUCGGUUCCCUUGUGGCCUGUGUGCAGGUGGUGCAUGGCUGUCGUCAGCUCGUGUCGUGAGAUGUUGGGUUAAGUCCCGCAACGAGCGCAACCCUUGUCUCAUGUUGCCAGCACGUAAUGGUGGGGACUCGUGAGAGACUGCCGGGGUCAACUCGGAGGAAGGUGGGGAUGACGUCAAGUCAUCAUGCCCCUUAUGUCCAGGGCUUCACACAUGCUACAAUGGCCGGUACAAAGGGCUGCGAUGCCGUGAGGUGGAGCGAAUCCUUUCAAAGCCGGUCUCAGUUCGGAUCGGGGUCUGCAACUCGACCCCGUGAAGUCGGAGUCGCUAGUAAUCGCAGAUCAGCAACGCUGCGGUGAAUACGUUCCCGGGCCUUGUACACACCGCCCGUCACGUCAUGAAAGUCGGUAACACCCGAAGCCAGUGGCCUAACCCCUUGUGGGAGGGAGCUGUCGAAGGUGGGAUCGGCGAUUGGGACGAAGUCGUAACAAGG
rnacentral:rRNA from 1 species